rnacentral:lncRNA from 1 species
CGCCAUAACCAGGGUUGGGAGCUAGCGCAACCUUGCAUGGAUGAUUACGCUGAAGCACAGCGAUGAGUAGGAGAGAGAGAAUAGAGCCGCUGCGACCACGCCUCGCGUUCACCAUCGCCCAGCCUCUCGAUCGCUGGGGAAUCGGGCGAGAUCACCAAGUCGUGCAGAUCGUGCGUGUGGUCAGCAGAGCAAGGAAGUUGGCGGGGGAGACGAAUUGCUUGCCGGUGCUUGGCCGAAUCCUCACCGGGAAUCCUCGGGCGGCACUACAGCGUCGACCGGCCGCAUCGACGUCUUCUCGAGUGGUGAGACCCUACUAAAUUACUCGCCGUAGCAUCCGCAUAGAUGAUCCCCAUUCAAUUUCCGAAUUUAGACCUAGAAAUCGGCAGGGUUGGUUCGCCACCAAUGGCGACAUCGUGCCUUCGCGUUCUGUCGCCGGUCGGGCGCCGUGGUGAGAGAGAGAGGAUUGGGGGGGAGAAAAAUGAAGGGCUUGGGCUGUUGGAUCAUACACGGAUGGCACCGAUCUAAGCGCGCAUACCCCUUCGCUCAAUAGGAUUUGGGCCGUAGAUCUGAGAUCAAGCGAUCAGGAUUUGAUCAUAGUCAUUCUUAAUCUGGACUGACGAUCUUUAAUCCGGUGGUCCUCAUGGCUUACCGGUUCAUUUUUAAUGAAGUCUAAUCCUGGCCGCGGAAUUUAGAUCUGACGGCUGAAGUCAGCCCGUACCCCUUCGGCCGGGGAUAAUUGCACGUGAGCCCUCAUAAAACUAUCAAAUAAACCCGCCGUCCACUCACGUGGAAAACUAAUUAAAUCUAGGUCCUGAGUUUCACAGUUUAGACCCUGUGUUUUCUAGAAAUUGUGUUCGCAGGCCAGAAUUAAUAGGGAUAUUCAUAAUUAAAUCAGAAAAUGAUUUUUUUAUAAAAAUAAAUCUAGGAACUUGUUUAAUUCAUAGUUAAUUCAUUUUAGCUCCGGAUUGAGUUAUUCCAGUUGCAAUAAUUUUGUUUUAAUAUUAUCUAUCAUCUAGUGCUUCUGUUUAGCCAUAAAACUUGAAUUAAAAAUGUUCAUUUGAAUUAAUCUAUUCUAGGUGCUUAACAACUCCAGAAAUUCAUAACUUGUUAACCGUAACUCCGAAUUUAGUAAUUCUUGUUCCUAUGAUCUCGUUACGCAGCUUAGAAUAUUAUUAUGUAGUUUGAUCUUAUAUUUGGUGUGAUGUUAAUUUUGCAUAUACAUGUUUGUCUGUAUUACUACGUUUAGCAGUGAGGACACGAGUUACCUGAAGAUCAUCCUGGUACCUGGAAUCUCAAGUCCCAGGCAAGUUGUGCCCUUGAUCACUUCUUUUUACCCAGUCAUGUUCUGAUUAAUCAUAAUGAUCUGCAUAUGUUAAUUUUGAUGGGACCCAAUAGGUUACCCUAGUUUGAUUAUCUUUAUACCUUGAUUACCACUGGACUUUUUGGGUAGUACCUGCUAUUGCUUUAUGUGGUUUUGGGUAUGAAGAUUACAUUAUUCAUGAUUACACUUUUGUUAUUAGUUGUUAUUUACUAUUCAUGAUAAGAUCAUUAUGUUAAUUGGAACAUGGAGAACCACCCGGGAAAACAGUGCUACCACAAGGGUUUAUGGACGCCCUUGGCUGAUUAACUAGGAAAGCUAGUGGAGGUCUUCCUUACCCGAAAGGGGCAAGGGCAGUAGGGGAGUGGUCAGUGUAGGGAGGUCCUUGGUUGAUUUUGCUGCGAUGGCGGUCAGGCAAGAACCCUGCAUUGGAGCUUCCUAUAAACUGUAGCGGGAUUUCUGAAGCUAGUGGAACUUUGUAAAGGCCUCGUAGUGUUACCCUGCCUCGCCUCCUCGGUAGAGGUGUAUGGGAUUGGCCGUCUCUUGGCAGAUGGGUAACAUGACUUGUGCGUAAAGAUGUGCAACCUCUACGGAGUGUAAAACUGGUAUACUAGCCGUGCUCACGGUCAUGAGCGGCUCGGACACUCACAUGAUUAAAUUAUGGAACUUAAACUCAAUUUGUCAUAUGCAUUGCAUCGCAGGUGAGGUUGUUACUUUUGUUCUACUAAAUUGGGAUGGUAUUUACUUAUACUUAGUAAUUGCUAAUAAAAUUUUGACCAACUUUAAAAGCAAUGCUCAGCUCUAACCAUCCUCUUUGGUAAGCUUACACUUCACGUGAGCUCCCACCUUUGGCGAGUUCAUGCACAUUAUUCCCCACAACUUGUUGAGCGAUGAACGUAUGUGAGCUCACUCUUGCUGUCUCACACCCCCCACAGGUCAAGAACAGGUACCACAGGAUGAGGCGCUUGGAGGAUGCUGUGACGAGUUCGUGAGAGGUCUAGGUCGUCGUCUCCCAGUCAACUUUGGGUUGCUGGACCGUUGUCUCCAUAUAAUGUAUUUAUUUAUUUAUUUUGUACAAAACUCCGAUUAUAUAGUAAAGAUGUGACAUUCGAUCCUGUGCCAUGAUUCAUCAUAUGUGUGAGACUUGGUCCCAGCACACCUGGUGAUUAUGUUCGCGCCCGGGUCUUGGUGCCCCGAAACCCGGGUGUGACAGAAGUGGUAUCAGAGGAAUGUUGACUGUAGGACGUAACCUAGAUAGAACUGGACAACCAUUGUCUACUUACCUUUGCUACUCUGAUUCUUUUCUAAACUUAUCUUAAUCUUUUCUCAUCCAUUUCCGCUUUACUCUGAUUAUUCUUACCUUUUUCUUCUAAAGACAAAUGUGGAUUUCACACUCUGAAAUCCUGUACCUAAAGUGACUUUUAGGAAUAGGAGACUUAAUCUUAGGAACAAAAAAACAAAACUAUUUUUUUAUCUAUACGCUUGAAUGUUUGUUCUUAUGAUAUUUGUCUGAUUUGGAUCUUUGAUUGAGUGUGAUGGGUUGUGGAGUAAUGUCCACAAUUACAUCUGCAUAUACAUAUAGGGAAAAAUGCUUAUAAAAAUAACUAGAUAAACUAGAUUAUCCCUCAUUAAAGGAUCUAGCCAAACAAUAUCCAUCUCAUCUUAAAAGAUUCUAUCCUACACUCGUAGAUCCAUCUUAUCUUAAGAAGAUACUCAUCUUAUCUUGAAAAGAUUUUAUGUCAUGCUAAUAGAUCUAACUGAUCUCAAAUGAUUCUAUCUUAUCUUUAUGGAUCCAUCUUAUCCUAACAAGCAUACUUACCCACCCUAGUUUAACAACCAUGAUCUAAUGCAAAUUAAUUAGAUCUUAUCUAGUCAAACUAGUCAUACCAAUCUAAUCUAGAUCCCAUCUAAUCUAAUAUGAUCUAAUCUAAUGUGGUCUAUUUAAACAGAUUAGUGAUACUGGUAGAAGAGAUUAAACCCUACUAGCCAGGUAUUAACUUAACUUCGCACAUUAGACCAACUCAACCAUGGGCAUAAGAUCUAACCUAGCCAAUAGAGUCUUGAUGGAUUGCAUAAUCUAUCUAUCUCCACCUAACCUCAAACAAACUUUUGACCUACAUCAAUCUCACCCAUAUCUAUCUUAACCAUACCCUGGUAACUCCGAUGAUAAACGCUGACCCCGACUCAAUGAGACCAAGACCAGAAAAGAACAAGAUCAACCUCGUCAAGGAAGGAGAGAAGUCAAACUCGAUCUUCAGAUGCAUUACCACCCAACAAGGAGUCCUUUCUCACCAUAAACUGUCUUACCCCUAGCUAUUGUUUCCCUAACCUAUCCAUCUCUUAUAUCCUACAUAAUAGGUGGCUAGAAACCCAUGCUUUCCUAAAUACCUAUUUAUUUGUAUAAAAAAAACUUUUCAAUAUUGAACUAAAAGACAAUUACAAACAAAACUUUCUACACCUCUUUCUUACAAAUCUCGAGGACGAGAUUUUUGUUAAGGGGGGUAGGAUUUGUAAAGCCCUAAAAUUGCGUAAGAUAAAAAAAUGAUAAAAUAAAUAAAUACAUAUAUAAAAUUGUUUUGGGAACACAGAACCUUGGGAGACUAUCAAUUUAUUUAUCAAUAGGUUAUACCCUUCAUGAACAAUAUAAAUAGAAACCAUCUUUUAAUCAAGCUAAUAGUAAUUAAUGAUAAAGUUUGGACAUUACUUCCUCUAAAAUAAGUAGUAAAUAUGCACUUUUGAAUCGACCUUUAAUUUUACAACACCUUCAAAUAAUAUUUUUCUAAAAGAAAGAUAGCGUGUGUACUUCAUAUUUGAAACAAUUGUCUAAUUAAUAAAUAAAACAAUAAAUGUAAAUAUAUAUCUACAUAUAUUUGCAUUCAUGCGGGAGUUUGAUUGUGCAUUUUUAAGUAUGUGUCAAAUCCAAAACUAAUUUUGAAUUCUAUUCGAAUUUGGAAUUGUAAGUUAAGAAAAUGAUAAAAAUAUAGAUGAAGAGAGAACAAACCGGUUUGACCCAAUCUCACUCACGUGGCCUACAUUCUCUUCUCUCUCCCCAUAACCCGUCUUGUUUCUUUCCAUUUAUAAUUCUUGUACAAACUACUGGUAACUGCCGGGGACGUAUGUUCCUUCCAUGUCAGACACCGACAUGUGGGGCACCCUGCAUACGAGCACGAACGCUGAACCAUCCCAGAAAAAUCGUCGGUGCCUGUAACAACCGCGUAACAACCGGGCAUGAGCCGACAGAUGGCGUUACAGGUUUAUAAAACCCGAUCCCCAUGUGCCUUCCGCCAUAACCAGGCUUGGGAGCUAGCGCAACCUUGCAUGGAUGAUUACGCUGAAGCACAGCGACGAGUAGGAGAGAGAGAAUAGAGCCGCUACGACCACGCCUCGCGUUCACCAUCGCCCAGCCUCUCGAUCGCUGGGGAAUCGGGCGAGAUCACCAAGUCGUGCAGAACGUGCGUGUGGUCAGCAGAGCAAGGAAGUUGGCGGGGGAGACGAAUUGCUUGCCGGUGCUUGGCCGAAUCCUCACCGGGAAUCCUCGGGCGGCACUGCAGCGUCGACCGGCCGCAUCGACGUCUUCUCGAGUGGUGAGACCCUACUAAAUUACUCGCCGUAGCAUCCGCAUAGAUGAUCCCCAUUCAAUUUCCGAAUUUAGACAUAGAAAUCGGCAGGGUUGGUUCGCCACCAAUGGCGACGUCGUGCCUUCGUGUUCUGUCGCCGGUCGGGCGCCGUGGUGAGAGAGAGAGAGGAUUGGGGGGGAGAAAAAUGAAGGGCUUGGGCUGUUGGAUCAUACACGGACGGCGCCGAUCUAACCGCGCAUACCCCUUCGCUCAAUAGGAUUUGGGCCGUAGAUCUGAGAUCAAGCGAUCAGGAUUUGAUCAUAGUCAUUCUUAAUCUGGACUGACGAUCUUUAAUCCGGUGGUCCUCAUGGCUGACCGGAUCAUUUUUAAUGAAGUCUAAUCCUGGCCGCGGAAUUUAGAUCUGACGGCUGAAGUCAGCCCGUACCCCUUCGGCCGGGGAUAAUUGCACGUGAGCCCUCAUAAAACUAUCAAAUAAACCCGUCGUCCACUCACGUGGAAAACUAAUUAAAUCUAGGUCCUGAGUUUCACAGUUUAGACCCUGUGUUUUCUAGAAAUUGUGUUCGCAGGCCAGAAUUAAUAGGGAUAUUCAUAAUUAAAUCAGAAAAUGAUUUUUUUAUAAAAAUAAAUCUAGGAACUUGUUUAAUUCAUAGUUAAUUCAUUUUAGCUCCAGAUUGAGUUAUUCCAGUUGCAAUAAUUUUGUUUUAAUAUUAUCUAUCAUCUAGUGCUUCUGUUUAGCCAUAAAACUUGAAUUAAAAAUGUUCAUUUGAAUUAAUCUAUUCUAGGUGCUUAACAACUCCAGAAAUUCAUAACUUGUUAACCGUAACUUCGAAUUUAGUAAUUCUUGUUCCUAUGAUCUCGUUAUGCAGCUUAGAAUAUUAUUAUGUAGUUUGAUCUUAUAUUUGGUGUGAUGUUAAUUUUGCAUAUACAUGUUUGUCUGUAUUGCUACGUUUAGCAGUGAGGACACGAGUUACCUGAAGAUCAUCUUGGUACCUGGAAUCUCAAGUCCCAGGCAAGUUGUGCCCUUGAUCACUUCUUUUUACCCAGUCAUGUUCUGAUUAAUCAUAAUGAUCUGCAUAGGUUAAUUUUGAUGGGACCCAAUAGGUUACCCUAGUUUGAUUAUCUUUAUACCUUGAUUACCACUGACUUUUUGGGUAGCACCUGCUAUUGCUUUAUGUGGUUUUGGGUAUGAAGAUUACAUUAUUCAUGAUUACACUUUUGUUAUUAGUUGUUAUUUACUAUUCAUGAUAAGAUCAUUAUGUUAAUUGGAACAUGGAGAACCACCCGGGAAAACAGUGCUACCACAAGUGUUUAUGGACGCCCUUGGCUGAUUAACUAGGAAAGCUAGUGGAGGUCUUCCUUACCCGAAAGGGGCAAGGGCAGUAGGGGAGUGGUCACUGUAGGGAGGUCCUUGGUUGAUUUUGCUGCGAUGGCGGUCAGGCAAGAACCCUGCAUUGGAGCUUCCUAUAAACUGUAGCGGGAUUUCUGAAGCUAGUGGAACUUUGUAAAGGCCUCGUAGUGUUACCCUGCCUCGCCUCCUCGGUAGAGGUGUAUGGGAUUGGCCGUCUCUUGGCAGAUGGGUAACAUGACUUGUGGGUAAAGAUGUGCAACCUCUGCAGAGUGUAAAACUGGUAUACUAGCCGUGCUCACGGUCAUGAGCGGCUCGGACACUCACAUGAUUAAAUUAUGGAACUUAAACUCAAUUUGUCAUAUGCAUUGCAUCGCAGGUGAGGUUGUUACUUUUGUUCUACUAAAUUGGGCUGGUAUUUACUUAUACUUAGUAAUUGCUAAUAAAAUUUUGACCAACUUUAAAAGCAAUGCUCAGCUCUAACCAUCAUCUUUGGUAAGCCUUACACUUCACGUGAGCUCCCACCUUUGGCGAGUUCAUGCACAUUAUUCCCCACAACUUGUUGAGCGAUGAACGUAUGUGAGCUCACUCUUGCUGUCUCACACCCCCCCCACAGGUCAAGAAUAGGUACCAUAGGAUGAGGCGCUUGGAGGAUGCUGUGACGAGUUCGUGAGAGGUCUAGGUCGUCGUCUCCCAGUCAACUUUGGGUUGCCGGACCGUUGUCUCCAUAUAAUGUAUUUAUUUAUUUAUUUUGUACAAAACUCCAAUUAUAUAGUAAAGAUGUGACAUUCGAUCAUGUGCCA